rnacentral:rRNA from 1 species
AUUGAACGCUGGCGGCAGGCCUAACACAUGCAAGUCGAACGAGUGGCGGACGGGUGAGUAAUGUCUGGGAAACUGCCCGAUGGAGGGGGAUAACUACUGGAAACGGUAGCUAAUACCGCAUACCAUCGGAUGUGCCCAGAUGGGAUUAGCUAGUGGGUGGGGUAAAGGAUACCCUAGGAGACGAUCCCUAGCUGGUCUGAGAGGAUGACCGGCAACACGGGAACUGAGACACGUUCCAGACUCCGACGGGAGGAAGCAGUGGGGAAUAUUGCACAAGGGGCGCAGCCCUGAUGCAGCCAUGCCGCGUGUAUGAAGAAGGCCUUCGGGUUGUAAAGUCCUUUCAGCGGGGAGGCGUUACCCGCAGAAGAAGCACCGGCUAACUCCGUGCCAGCAGCCGCGGUAAUAC